rnacentral:rRNA from 1 species
UCUGGCAACGAUACCGAGGGUGAAACACCUCUUCCCAUUCCGAACAGAGUAGUUAAGCCCCUCAGGGCCGAUGGUACUGUGCUGGCGACGGCACGGGAGAGUAGGUCGUUGCCAGAU